AAAGCUUUAAGUUAACUAAACUAUUAACCUUCAAAGUUAAAAAUAUGUAUUACAUAAGCUUUA
rnacentral:tRNA from 1 species